AGGGGCAACUCUCCUAGUACAGCGGCGAAAGGGUGAGUAUAACGUGGAAAACGUACCCUCAGGCGCGGGAUAACCCAGGGAAACUUGGGCUAAUACCGCAUACCAUCACGGCGGGGCAUCCCGUUGCGAUCAAAGACGCAAGUCACCAGAGGAGCGUUCCACGGCCUAUCAGCUAGUUGGCGGGGUAACGGCCCACCAAGGCAAUGACGGGUAGCCGGACUGAGAGGCCGACCGGCCACACGGGAACUGAGACACGGUCCCGACACCUACGGGUGGCAGCAGUAGGGAAUAUUGCGCAAUGGGCGAAAGCCUGACGCAGCGACGCCGCGUGGGGGAUGAAGGCCUUCGGGUUGUAAACCCCUUUCAUGAGGGAAGAACACUGACCUAACCUCAGGAAGAAACACCGGCUAACUCCGUGCCAGCAGCUGCGGUAAUACGGAGAGUGCAAACGUUGUUCGGAUUCACUGGGCGUAAAGGGCACGUAGGCGGCCAGGCAAAUCGAUCGUGGAAUACCAACGCUUACCGUUGGUGCGGCGGUCGAAAAUACCUGGAUUGAGGGCGUGAGGGGUCACUGGAACUUCUGGUGGAGCGGUGAAAUGCGUAGAUAUCAGAAGGAACGCCGGCGGCGAAAGCGAGUGACUGGCGCGUUCCUGACGCUGAGGUGCGAAAGCUGGGGGAGCAAACAGGAUUAGAUACCCUGGUAGUCCCAGCCGUAAAC
rnacentral:rRNA from 1 species